rnacentral:rRNA from 1 species
UACGGGGGGGGGCAAGCGUUGUUCGGAAUUACUGGGCGUAAAGGGCUCGUAGGUGGCCAACUAAGUCAGACGUGAAAUCCCUCGGCUUAACCGGGGAACUGCAUCUGAUACUGGAUGGCUUGAGUUCGGGAGAGGGAUGCGGAAUUCCAGGUGUAGCGGUGAAAUGCGUAGAUAUCUGGAGGAACACCGGUGGCGAAGGCGGCAUCCUGGACCGACACUGACGCUGAGGAGCGAAAGCCAGGGGAGCAAAGCGGG